UACGUAGGGUGCGAGCGUUACUCGGAAUUACUGGGCGUAAAGCGUGCGCAGGCGGUCUGUUAAGACCGAUGUGAAAUCCCCGGGCUUAACCUGGGAACUGCAUUUGUGACUGGCGGGCUAGAGUAUGGCAGAGGGGGGUAGAAUUCCACGUGUAGCAGUGAAAUGCGUAGAGAUGUGGAGGAAUACCGAUGGCGAAGGCAGCCCCCUGGGCCAAUACUGACGCUCAUGCACGAAAGCGUGGGGAGCAAACAGG
rnacentral:rRNA from 1 species